rnacentral:rRNA from 1 species
GCAGUCGCCACGGGAAUACGUAGGUGGCAAGCGUUGUCCGGAAUUAUUGGGCGUAAAGGGCUCGCAGGCGGUUUCUUAAGUCUGAUGUGAAAGCCCCCGGCUCAACCGGGGAGGGUCAUUGGAAACUGGGAAACUUGAGUGCAGAAGAGGAGAGUGGAAUUCCACGUGUAGCGGUGAAAUGCGUAGAGAUGUGGAGGAACACCAGUGGCGAAGGCGACCCUCUGAUCUGUAACUGACGCUGAGGAGCGAAAGCGUGGGGAGCGAACAGGAUUAGAUACCCCGGUAGUCCCUGUCUCUUAUAC